AAUAGGUAUCUUAUAUUACAUCUUAUUCUUAAGGAUUUUUGUUGGUGAGUUGAAUUUUACUAUUUAUUAUUAUAUUAUCAAUUCAAAUAUGUAAAGAGAAUUGUUGGUAUAUUUUAUUAACUAUCUCUACUUUUGGAAUGGUUUUGAUAACAUAUACACAUAUUAUUUUAUUGCAGUGUACUUUUAUUCCAGAAUAAUAGUCGGGUUGCUGUUAGAGGCUAACCAAGUAUUAUUUAGGUUACCAUUGCAAUUAAAGUGUACUAGAUUCGCGGGAGAAAAAAAUAUGUUUUUUUUUUUUUUAUUAUCUAAGUCGGAUCUGCGAUCAGUCACAAGACUAUAAGCGGAUGAGUUGGGUGAGUAUGACGUUUAGACUAAGAGACCAGUGUCUCAUCUGCCUUCCUAUAACACAUCCUUCCUUUUCAGCCUUUUCAUUGCUCUGGGACGGAUUAGGAGAUCAUUAGCCAGGGUAUAUGGGUGAACCGAGAGGCGAUCAGCGUAUUUCCUUUUGAAUUUAUCAAUUUCCGACUGAACACUGGGAACGCCAAGAUAUUGAUGGAUCUCGUCAUUUCUGGAAAACCAUGGGGCACUUGUGAUGGUACGCAGGAUGUUGUUUUGCACACGUUGGAUGAGUAUGAUGUUGCUUUUGUUGGCAGAGCCCCACGGUGGAAUUCCGUAGGUCCAGUUGGGCUUCAAUACAGCAUUGUAGAUUAGAAGCUUAUUGUCAGUAGACAGGACAGAGUUUCUACCCAUGAGCCAGUGAAGGUUUCGGAACCUGUGAUUAAUUUCAUGCCGUUUCUUCUUUACGUGAGAAAUCCAGGUGAAUCUUCUGUCUAAGCUAAAGCCUAGGUAUUUCACUUUCUCAGAAUCUGGUAGAACAUUAGAGCCAAGUUUGACAGGAUGGCAAUUUUCCCUUCUUAACGAGAAGGUGAUGUGGUUCGAUUUUUGAGCACUUGCCCGAAUGCGCCAUUUAUUCAUCCAUGCUUGGGUCUUGUCUAAAAGCUGUUGGAGCUUAUUACUAGCCUGUGCUGGGUCUUCAUCGCUUGCAAUGUAGGCUACAUCAUCGGCAUAUGUUACUACGGUGACGUCUUCAGAUACCGGUAAGUCUGAAGUAAAUAUGUUAUACAUUACGGGACCAAGUACUGAACCCUGUGGAACGCCGGCUUCAAUUUUUCGUAGCGUAGAUCUGACAUCUCCCUGUUUCACUUGGAAAAGCCUGUCUUCGAGGUAGGGCUUGAUGAUGAGGUAGAGAGAGUGUGGAAGUUUGUCUUUAACUUUGUACAAUAGCCCUUUGUGCCAGACUCUGUCAAAUGCUUGGUGAACGUCUAAAAAUGCCGCAGAGCAGAAAAGUUUCAUUUCAAAGCAGCGUCUGAUCUCGUGAUAAACCCGAUGCAUUUGCUCAAUUGUCGAGUGCUGUUUCCGAAACCCGAACUGGUGCUUUGGAAUGAUGUUGCAGUUUACCAUGAGUUCAUUCAAGCGGACUAAAAAUAUUUUUUCCCAUAAUUUUGAUAUCACUGGAGUUAAACUUAUUGGUCGGAAUGAUGAAGCUUCAUGAGGAGGUUUUCCAGCUUUGUGAAUCAUAAUAAUUUCCAGAUUAUGGAAAAAUAUGAAGUUCUCAAGGUAGCAUUAAAGAGUGAGGCAAGAAAUGUUAUGCAUUUUCUGGGAAGAUUUUUAAGAAUUGUGGGAGUAAUUAAAUCAAAUCCAGGUGCCUUGUUGGAAUUCAGUCGUCUAAUCUCUGACGCGAUUUCCUUUGGAGAUGUGGGUCGGAGAGGCAGGCAUAGCUGGAGAUCUUGUCCAAGUACUUUAUCAAUCUCAGAUUCAUCGCCACCAUCAUUCACCUUGAAUGCAUUUUCAAGAUAAUUGGCAAAUACUUCUGCUUUCUCAGCGUGCGUUCGAGCCCAUGAGUUUGAUUGUUUGAGGGGAGCGUGAUGUUCUUGCGGCUUUGCAAAGGAUUUAGCAGCUUUCCAAAGCGACGUUUCGCCCUUUCCCUGAGGUGACACUCUUUCGAGAGUAUUUCGGAAUGAAGAAUUUGCCUGUUCUUGCAAUAGCUUCUUUAGCUGUUUUGCUGCUCGGUUGAAGGCGGUUUUAUCUGCAGGAUGGCGAGAGUGAUGCCAGAUUCUUCGUAGUCUUCGUUUCUCUCUAAGGCUUUCUUUAAUAUCUGCUGAUUGUAGUGACACCUUUGGAAGGCAAGUGGAGACUGGUGAGUUUUUCCACGCCGAUACUUGGAUCAGGUUUGUGAGAGGUACAAGCAAGCAUUGUCAAUAUCCUCCGGAGUUUUCAUACGAACAUUUAACUGGAUAUAUUCGUCCAAGAAAUUACGAAAGCCAUGCCAGUCAGUUUUUCCAUUAGAUAAGGAGUCAGAUGGCUCGGCAUGAAUGACUGAAGUACUUAAGGUGAGGAUUACCGGCGUGAUCAGAUGAACCGUCAAGGCUCGAUUCUACAGUGGAGUAAAGAUGGCUGAUCCCCUUGGUUGGUGACAAAGAAGUCCAACAAAUCUGGGGUCUUGUUAAUACCUGUUGGCCAGCUCGUCGGUUCUCCCGAGGAUAUUGGAGUGAGGUGGAGACUAUCCAAGCAGCUUUUAAGCGUUCGGCCUCUAGGAAGAGUCAUGCGAGAACCCCAAUAUGUAUGCUUAGCGUUCCAGUCCCCUCCUGAUAUGAAUUUGGUUCCAAGGUGAGAAAAGUAGUCUUCAAACAUUUGACAGGUUAUUUUAUGCUUAGGUGAGCAGUAAACGGCGGACAAUGUAAUCGGACCUGCUCGGUCAUCAAGUCGUAUGGUAGUAGCCUGAAUAUAUUGGGUAGAGUAUGAACUCUACCCAAUAUAUUAAGGCUACUACUGGAGUCAUCUCCAGCACGGUAUGCUUAAGGUUUGAUCUUAUCCCUAUUGCGGUGCCCGCAUGAGCUUUGCCUAUGUCAGGAUGAGGCGUAAAGUAGAUGUUGAAAUCCUUCAUCGGUAGAGACUAUUUUUUGAGGAAUGUGACUCUGAGAUAAGAACUAUGUCAAGAUUAUUAUUUUUAAUUACUUCUUCAAGUUCAAGUAUGUUCGAUGACAGCCCAUUGAUGUUACAAGUUGCUAUACGUAAGGGGAUUACGAAUGUAGUUUAGAGACAACGGACGUCAAUAGGUUUAAGAGAGUACCUAUCUGUUGAAUGAGUUGUUCUAUCUUUUCGGAUUGUUUUAUUAAGAUUUGUUCAAUCCGACUUUGUUGAGGGUUGGGUUCAGUCUCACAGUCAGUGUUAGGGCUGCCUCUAUUUGCUGUAAUAUCAGAGUAGCUUCGCUUGUCACGGAGUUGGGUGGGAUUAGGUGCUAGCGAGGGUUUGUUGGGGUGAUCAUGUGGUUCAGUUGGUUUAGUUAAUUUCAUGUCAUUCAUAGGUCGAGUAGGGUGUUUUCUGUUUUGGUUUGCCUUUCUGGAUGCGAUUUCCAAAUAAACCUGACAGCCUUUAUAGUUUGCAGGAUGGUCGCAUGUGCACAAAGCACACUUUGCUGGAGAUUUGCGAUCUUUCUUUGGACAAUCAGCGGUCUUGUGUCCUUCCCCGCAUUUAACGCAUCUAUAGGGCCGCAUGCAGUUAUUUUUGGAGUGACCAUAUUGCUGGCAGCGCUGGCAUUGAACAAUUGUUUUCGCUUUUCAAGGGUCUUCUAUUAUUACUCGCUGGUGGUGGAUAUACUCUAUAUUUUUCACUGCUUUGUUGUUAUUAUUUGGUUCCAAAUUGACGAAAAAUGUAAAAGAUGGAGUUUUGUCUGGACCAUAUCGGGCGUUAAUUAUUUCUCCACGGACUUUAUUACCAGUAGCUUCUAUCGCAUCGAUUAUUUCACUGAGGUGUGGUAUAAUGAAGUUUCUUUGUUACUAUGCGAUAUGCCUUCUUUUCUUUUGGCGUAAACGUGUGACCUAUCAAACCUUAGGCCCUUAUUGCCGAUAUCACAUCCUUGUAGGUUUCCGGGCAAUCUACAAGAACUCGCAGAAAAUUUUUGUUUGCUAUCCUUAUUUUAAAUAGUUUGGCAUCACAUACUGAUUCUAUAAAUUUAGACAAUUCAUUUACGUCUUCUAUUCCAUAUAGAACGAUAGGCGGAGGCUUAUUCGUUUUUAGGUUCGGUGUGGAAUUCUUCUCAUUUAAGGCUAGAGGAGAAAACCUAUUUGAUACUGGCACGGGAGUGCUGUUUGGUGGUGAAUCGCUUGUUCUUUUCCGCUUGUUAGUACCUGGCACCCGCUGCCAGGGUGGAGGUGCUUGCUGGGUGCAUGGGUUAUCAGUCAUAUCCAGUGUGAUUGUAGUUCUGAUUGGUUGACAGAUUUAGACAUAUCGCUAAGAGAAGCUGAGCGUGUUCUAUUAAAUAGUCCGGAAUGGAAUACUUGUUGAGUGAGGGUUUUUUGAUUGGUUUUGGGUGAGGUAGUUUUGUUUUCGUUCAUAUUAGUUUUUAUUCCCACGAGUAAGGUCGAAUUUAGUAGUCACUCUCAGGGUGACGCCUAUUCCUGAGAGAAGGCAUUGGUUCAACGACACGUCGCCCAGUGUGUCGAGGUUGGUCGCUAAAGACUGAGUUAACCCAUCAGUCAUUCAUCCUAUUAGCGCGUGCCUCACUGUAGGAUUGGGGGAUUAGUUAGAGAGGUUACCUUCCUCGCGGUCCGAGUGGCGAAGUUCAGUUCCGUUCCUGCGCAACAUGACCGCAGGUUUACGGUCUGGGGAGCCGGUUAAGGCUACACUUCGGUUUUUCUGUCGGGGUUGUCUCCCUUAUCUAGAAAGUCGGUUUUAAGGCGCCAACAAUUCGCCUGUGCCCUUCAUACUUCGCUAAUACAGUCAUGAGAUAGGUGAGGAUGUGUGACACUCAUAAGGACUGUAACAUUGCCCGGGGUAGACGAACCACCUGAAAGUUCACAUGGAUCCACCCUAGCCUGUACGUCGGCAGAACUAGAGGCAGCGAGGACGUGUAUGAUCGGACUGGAUGAUGCGCGCCAGUAGCCCAGUGCCACACACCUGAGCGUACGCUAUUGGCUCUAUCUCAGCAUUUAUUAAUCAUGUCCAGUGGUACAACUUGCAUAAACUCAUCAUUGUUUGUUUUUACAGGAUAGGUAACAGUUAACAUGAAAGAUCAGAAAUGGCUAUUUCUGUUCUCUGAAACUGGCAUAUGAAAAAUUUAAGGAAAUCAUACUCUAUGCUGUUGAUGAUAGAUGUUAUAAUAAGAUAUUAUGGAAAGAAUGUAAAGGUCUUGACUGUAUUACGGAGGUGUACAUUCGAUCAUCAGGAGCUCAUGUAGUAACUAAGAAGUUAAUAAACUGAAACUUAACAUUGAUGAAACCUAUACUGAAGAAUACUGUGACUUCUAAAAUACACUCAGCGGCACAAUUAACCGCCCACCCUUUUAAAGUGGCAAAUUUUGAUGUUAUCGCAGUUGUAAGUUAUUGGGCAUAAAUAAGUCAAGUGUUAAAGAAAUGUAGUGACGAAAAAAUUACAAACUACCCACUUAACUUUGUUUUUUUUACGCAUAAGUUGUGAAUAGGAUAAAUAUCGAACUUCGUCUCGUUAUCGUUGCCAUACUGCUUACAUUGCUUCAGUGGCAUUAAAAGUAAACAAUUUGAGUUUGUUUUGGUUUCGUAACUUAGUAAGCUAGUGUUUGGACAUCACAAACAUGCUAAUUCAGUGGCGAGAGCCGUCUCUCUUAUCGACGAAGGGUUUAGUCAGCGUUACGUGGCGCGGAAGCUUGGUGUCGCACGUACCACCUUAAGGGAUGCAGUGAAACGGUUUCGGGAAACUGGCUCUUAUGAGCGAAGACCAGGACAGGGCCGAAAAAGAUGCACCUCCGCUCGUGACGACCGAUUUCUUGUGACCAAUGUUCUAAGAAAUCGGUUCACUACAGCUGUUGAGGCACGAAACCAACUUCGUGAGGUUCGCAAUGUUCAAGUGAGUGAAAGAACAGUGAGAAGAAGACUAGGAGAGAAUGCCCUUGGAGCUUUUCGACCAUCUCGAGUGCCACAAUUGCUCGUAGGCCACCGGAGAGAAAGACUUCGUUUUUCCCGAGAGCACGCCGAAUGGAAUAUGGAACAAUGGAAGAAAGUUAUGUUUACUGACGAGACAAGAAUAUGCUUGCACGGUCCUGACGGUCGCCAGCGUGUAUACAGACGCAAGAAUGAAAGGUUGGCACCAUGUACUGUUGUGGAAACAGUAGGUUACCAAGGUGGCUCUAUCAUGAUAUGGGGCGGCAUUACUUACGAAGCACGCACCGACUUGGUUAUCUUCGAAAGAGGUGGAAUAAAUGCUCAGAGGUAUGUAACAGAAGUGUUGGAACCUCAUGUAAUGACGAUCACAGUAGUGUAGUACUCAAGUAAGUAGCAACCAUUUUAAUGAAAAAAUAAAAUUUUAUUUGUU